GCAAGUGAUGACUUGAACAUUCUUCACUUUGACCUGACUAAUCAGUGAUGAUAACCUUCAGUCUGAGC
ensembl:snoRNA small nucleolar RNA SNORD37